UCCGGGCGGACGCCGAGUCCUGCCGCCGCCCGGAUGACUGGUCGACAGGAGUGGAUCGGCAGGAGUGGAGGACCCAGCAAGGCGGGCCUCCGGAGAGAUCCGGAAGGUCCUUGGGGUGAAGCCGCAGUACGCGGCCGGGCUACUUCGCCAGUCCGAAUCCGACAGGUCAUCCUUCACAGGCGGCUGACGAAGGGUUG
rnacentral:sRNA from 2 species